rnacentral:rRNA from 1 species
GAUGAACGCUGGCGGCGUGCCUAAUACAUGCAAGUCGAGGGGCAUCACAUGAAGCAGCAAUGCGGAUGGUGGCGACCGGCGCACGGGUGAGUAACACGUAUGCAACCUGCCUUCAACAAGGGCAUAACCCGUUGAAAGACGGACUAAUUCCCUAUGACACAGGGGUCCCGCAUGGGGAUAUUUGUUAAAGAUUUUAUCGGUUGAAGAUGGGCAUGCGUUCCAUUAGCUUGUUGGCGGGGUAACGGCCCACCAAGGCAACGAUGGAUAGGGGAACUGAGAGGUUUAUCCCCCACACUGGUACUGAGACACGGACCAGACUCCUACGGGAGGCAGCAGUGAGGAAUAUUGGUCAAUGGACGCAAGUCUGAACCAGCCACGUCGCGUGAAGGAAGACGGCCCUACGGGUUGUAAACUUCUUUUAUACGGGAAUAAAGUGCCCCACGUGUGGGGUUUUGCAUGUACCGUAUGAAUAAGGAUCGGCUAACUCCGUGCCAGCCGCCGCGGUAA